rnacentral:rRNA from 1 species
UACGGGAGGCAGCAGUAGGGAAUCUUCCGCAAUGGACGAAAGUCUGACGGAGCAACGCCGCGUGAACGAUGAAGGCUUUCGGGUCGUAAAGUUCUGUUGUUAGGGAAGAACAAGUACCGGAGUAACUGCCGGUACCUUGACGGUACCUAACCAGAAAGCCACGGCUAACUACGUGCCAGCAGCCGCGGUAAUACGUAGGUGGCAAGCGUUGUCCGGAAUUAUUGGGCGUAAAGCGCGCGCAGGCGGUCCUUUAAGUCUGAUGUGAAAGCCCACGGCUCAACCGUGGAGGGUCAUUGGAAACUGGGGACUUGAGUGCAGAAGAGGAGAGUGGAAUUCCACGUGUAGCGGUGAAAUGCGUAGAGAUGUGGAGGAACACCAGUGGCGAAGGCGACUCUCUGGUCUGUAAACUGACGCUGAGGCGCGAAAGCGUGGGGAGCGAACAGGGAUUAGAUACC